CAAGAGUAUUCUCAAUACUACGGUUCAAUUCUACAAAGGCCUUCGUUGCUUCUGGGGUCCAGGUUAUUUUGCAUCGAGCUGUCAAUUGUUUGCCAUGGACAGUUCUAAGUUAAGGAUCCACUGUCUGCAGUAUGACGUCAUUCCUGGGAAACACUUGUUUCUUUGUUUUUGGCGUUUUGGAGAGGGAAUAUCCCGCUGCUGUGAUCAGAUGUCCCAGAUACGUUAUUUUUGUCUGGACAAGUUGAAGUUUAGAGCUGGCUUUGUGACCAUUGUUAGCCAGAAAGGUCAAAAGUGCAACUGUGUCUUGUUUUGCAUGCUUCUUCUGAGGGCCUAGCCACCAUGAGGUCAUCCACAUGUCGUCAUCUAACCUGAUAGGAAGUUAGUUUUGUAAAUUUAGGCUCAGCUGCAGAUGAAAGUUUGACAUGAGUAUCCUUGUGCACAUCUUGCUCAGGUGUAGCUACGCCCCUGGAAGGUGAAUGCCAACCAACAUUCACACUCAGGAUGGACGGGCAUGGAGAAAAAUGCAUUCGCCAAAUCAACUACUGAACAAAAUGGUUCCUUGCUCUUCCUGAUGUGUCACCAGACUGAUUGUCUUCCUGAUUCCUGAUUGUGUCCACCUGUUCCCGCUUCCCCAUGUGUUCAUAUAGUCUGCGUCUCCCUUUGUCUUGUGCCAGUGUGUCGUCCUACGUCGUCAUACCAGCCAGUGUCCAAGAUCCAUAGUCAUAGUUUCUCUAGUCUCGUGACCACAGUUUUACCUCGUUCGAGUGAUUUUUCUUUGUAGCUCUUUUUUGUUCCAGCGUCAGGUCUCAGUUAGGUUUAGAUAAGUAGCUUUGUUUUCCUCCUUUUGGAGUGACCUUAUUUUUGGAUCUGUUAGUACUCUGUACUAUGAAUAAACUGUCAUCCUACACCU